rnacentral:rRNA from 1 species
AUGUUCUUUGGAAAAAUUGACAAGCAGCCUCAAAAUCACCCCCCCCCCCUCGUUUCCCCGUGGCAGCCAGUCGACCCGGGGAGGUUUUCUUCCCCGCCUCCAGCAACCACAGCCACCGCCGCCUCCCGGCUCUGUUCGGCACAACCAGGGCCUCCCCCUCUCCACUCUCUUCACCAGGAAUCCCCUCUCCCUCUCGUGAGUCCAUCCCCCUGCUGA